UAUUUUCGAUGAUAGGACGUCCGAUUCGGCGAUCGGUUCCGUUAGACAUGAUCUACGCUAUUGGAACUAUCUAGAAACCAAAUUUCAUAAUUUUUUGACUUCAUUUGCCUAGUGAACGAGUAGCCUCAAAAUGAACGGUUGAAAAUAAAAAUCUCAUAAAAAAAAAUGAUAAAGGACUCAAAUUUCAAAUCGGAAGUAUUGAUCUUGCUAUUGACGUUAAGUAGAAUUUUCUAUUAAAUUUUCAUGUAAUUUGGAUACUUCUACACUGUUGAACUUAAAAACGUACCACAUCGGCCGUUAAAAUAGUCAUUUUUGGGACCUUUUGAUCGCUUAGUAAAUGAUGUCAAAAAAUUAUAAAAUUUGGUUUCUAGAUUGUUCCAAUAGG
rnacentral:lncRNA from 1 species